rnacentral:rRNA from 1 species
UGGGGAAUAUUGGACAAUGGGCGAAAGCCUGAUCCAGCAAUGCCGCGUGAGUGAUGAAGGCCUUAGGGUUGUAAAGCUCUUUUACCAGGGAUGAUAAUGACAGUACCUGGAGAAUAAGCUCCGGCUAACUCCGUGCCAGCAGCCGCGGUAAUACGGAGGGAGCUAGCGUUGUUCGGAAAUACUGGGCGUAAAGCGCACGUAGGCGGUACAGUAAGUCAGGGGUGAAAUCCCGGAGCUCAACUCCGGAACUGCCUUUGAAACUAUUGAACUAGAAUCUUGGAGAGGCGAGUGGAAUUCCGAGUGUAGAGGUGAAAUUCGUAGAUAUUCGGAAGAACACCAGUGGCGAAGGCGACUCGCUGGACAAGUAUUGACGCUGAGGUGCGAAAGCGUGGGGAGCAAACA